rnacentral:rRNA from 1 species
GACGAACGCUGGCGGCGUGCCUAACACAUGCAAGUGGAGCGACGAACCAGGCUUCGGCCUGGGGCAAAGCCGCGAACGGGUGAGUAACACGUGGGUAACCUGCCCUGAUGAUUGGGACAGCCCGAGGAAACUCGGGCUAAUACCGAAUGUGCCCUCCGGCCUCAAGGCCGCUGGGGAAAGGAAGCUUCGGCCUCCGCAUCGGGAUGGGCCCGCGGCCCAUUAGCUUGUUGGUGAGGUAACGGCNCACCAAGGCGACGAUGGGUAGCUGGUCUGAGAGGACGAUCAGCCACACUGGGACUGAGACACGGCCCAGACUCCUACGGGAGGCAGCAGUGGGGAAUCUUGCGCAAUGCGCGAAAGCGUGACGCAGCAACGCCGCGUGGGGGAAGAAGGCCU